UUGUUUUAAAACAAAACAAAACCCAAUGCUCAUUCAGAGAACAGAGCCACUUACUUCUAUUUCUAUCCAUUUCCACUGAAUUGUUAGCUCAGCAUUUAGAUUCCAGUCGUAAUCAAGCAUGCAGUCAAGAGCUGUUGAAAUCAGUGAGUGGGUUGAGGUGCACCUAACAUCUGGGGCUUGUAGUCUCUCUAUCUUGCAGCAACACUGAAAAUAACAAGGCAAUCAUUUUUGUUUUGAAAAGUUGAACAUUUCUUUCUGCAGGAACAAAUCAGAGUCAGUCAACAUUAUUAACCUAUUCCAAAUGCAAGGUAUAGCUCUUCAAGUAAGGGCUUGGUUCACAAAAUGAGAGUUCAAGAUAAUCCAUGGUAGAAAUGCAGGCCACUGGGCCUGAUAUUGUGACCAGCUGUCUUCAGGUACCUCUGAUGUCAGGCCAACCCUAUUAUGACUGUUCAAUAGCAGUUAGACAGGAUGCUUCAGCAACCAUCAACCUUGUCUACAUUGGAAUUGAAGUCAAUACAGCGAAGAACAGAGUGAGACAAUCAGCCAAUUCUUCUGGGUUAUGCGUUUCCCAGGUUUACAGUCUUUCCCAACGUGAUAUCAACAGAUAAUGGAAGUUGCACUGCAACACAUAUGGAGUGAACCAGGACAGGACAGGGCAGUCUACACGGUAUCAAAUCAGGUGUACAGCCAAAAGUGGCCUUGCGUCUCCACCUUGAAUUGCCACAGAA
rnacentral:lncRNA from 1 species